UUAGAAGUGAAGUGAAUUAUUUGUUCAACAAUGGCAAAUACAAAUUUUUUUUUAUUUUGUGAUUGCACUGAUGAUCAUUACAACUCUAUUCUUCGUGCAAGUCAAUGCGGAACCUAGAGAGCCUCAUUCAAACGGCCUUCUCGAUGAAGCUAACGGAUACAAUUUUGAUGGAGAAUUGGAUUCAGAUUAGAAUAUAUUCUCAUGUUCCAGAAGGCGUAUAAAAGUGAAAGACAAUUUUUUCUUUAUGUAAUGCCAUUUCCAUGUUAUUAUGGCUUUCUUCAUAUAUAUCAUCCUGCAUAUUCACACGUAUUCUACAAAUGUUAGCAGUAUGUUAUUGUUUGUGUAAUAUCGAUUGUUAUCACACGUCAUUCAAAAAAUGUUAGUUUUCUUGUCAUGUAACAAAAAAAAUGUAUGUCAACGGAAAACGCUAUUUUUAAUACUAA